GAUGAACGCUGGCGGCGUGCUUAACACAUGCAAGUCGAACGAUGAAGCCCAGCUUGCUGGGUGGUUUAGUGGCGAACGGGUGAGUAACACGUGAGUAACCUGCCCUUAACUCUGGGAUAAGCCUGGGAAACUGGGUCUAAUACCUGAUAGGAGCGUCCACCGCAUGGUGGGUGUUGGAAAGAUUUAUCGGUUUUGGAUGGACUCGCGGCCUAUCAGCUUGUUGGUGAAGUAAUGGUUCACCAAGGCCUCGACGGGUAGCCGGCCUGAGAGGGUGAACGGCCACACUGCGACUGAGAGACGGCCCAGACUCCUACGGGAGGCAGCAGUGGGGAAUAUUGCACAAUGGGCGCAAGCCUGAUGCAGCGACGCCGCGUGAGGGAUGACGGCCUUCGGGUUGUAAACCUCUUUCAGUAGGGAAGAAGCGAAAGUGACGGUACCUGCAGAAGAAGCACCGGCUAACUACGUG
rnacentral:rRNA from 1 species